rnacentral:rRNA from 1 species
UACAGAGGGUGCGAGCGUUGUCCGGAAUCACUGGGCGUAAAGGGCGCGUAGGUGGCCUGAUAAGGGUGUGGUGAAAGUCCGGGGCUCAACCCCGGAUCUGCCGUGCCGACUGUUAGGCUAGAGUACUGUAGGGGCAGGCGGAAUUCCGGGUGUAGCGGUGGAAUGCGUAGAGAUCCGGAGGAAGACCGGUGGCGAAGGCGGCCUGCUGGGCAGUUACUGACACUGAGGCGCGACAGCGUGGGGAGCAAACAGG